GCCUCUGUAGCUCAGCCGGAAGAGCGUUGCCUUGGUAAGGCAAAGGCCGCGGGAUCGUGCCCCGCCAGAGGCU
rnacentral:tRNA from 1 species